GGGUUGUGAGGUUAAGCGACUAAGCGUACACGGUGGAUGCCCUGGCAGUCAGAGGCGAUGAAGGACGUGCUAAUCUGCGAUAAGCGCCGGUAAGGUGAUAUGAACCGUUAUAACCGGCGAUUUCCGAAUGGGGAAACCCAGUGUGACUCGUCACACUAUCAUUAACUGAAUCCAUAGGUUAAUGAGGCGAACCGGGGGAACUGAAACAUCUAAGUACCCCGAGGAAAAGAAAUCAACCGAGAUUCCCCCAGUAGCGGCGAGCGAACGGGGAGGAGCCCAGAGCCUGAAUCAGCAUGUGUGUUAGUGGAAGCGUCUGGAAAGGCGCGCGAUACAGGGUGACAGCCCCGUACACAAAAGCGCAUGUGCUGUGAGCUCGAUGAGUAGGGCGGGACACGUGGUAUCCUGUCUGAAUAUGGGGGGACCAUCCUCCAAGGCUAAAUACUCCUGACUGACCGAUAGUGAACCAGUACCGUGAGGGAAAGGCGAAAAGAACCCCGGCGAGGGGAGUGAAAAAGAACCUGAAACCGUGUACGUACAAGCAGUGGGAGCACAGGUUUACCUGUGUGACUGCGUACCUUUUGUAUAAUGGGUCAGCGACUUAUAUUCUGUAGCAAGGUUAACCGAAUAGGGGAGCCGGAGGGAAACCGAGUCUUAACCGGGCGUUAAGUUGCAGGGUAUAGACCCGAAACCCGGUGAUCUAGCCAUGGGCAGGUUGAAGGUUGGGUAACACUAACUGGAGGACCGAACCGACUAAUGUUGAAAAAUUAGCGGAUGACCUGUGGCUGGGGGUGAAAGGCCAAUCAAACCGGGAGAUAGCUGGUUCUCCCCGAAAGCUAUUUAGGUAGCGCCUCGUGAA
rnacentral:rRNA from 1 species